UGGCAGAGACCUGGUCAUCAAAGAUGGACCUUCAGUAACAGAGGAAAUGUCAGUUACCAGUCCAGCUCAGCCACUCAACAGUAAUGCCUGGAGAAGGACAGCAUAUGGACCAAAGGACAUGCUCUCCAUACCAAGAGGUCUCAACAGUUUCCUGUAUCUGCAAGCAUGGGGAAAGAAGAGAGAUUUAAUGUUUGCCCAAGAUACAGUUUGUUGAACCAAAGGAGAAUCAAGUGGUUUUUGUUGGGACAAACAAUAUUUACUCAGCAAAAUUAAAGCGAUUCUCGUGUCUUGCCCUCCCUCCUCUACAGCCUGUGCUCAACUGAGAAAGCUGAGAUGGCUGUGGGUCUAGUAGUCCCAGAGCCACAGUGGGGACUAGGGACCAGUACUUAAGGGAUGCCUAAGCCAUUGUGGCCCAUCCCAGUCGUUGUAUUUUCUCAGCGGUGACUCGGAAGGAGGCUGUGAGGAAGCACACCUCGGUUUUUACCUGAAUAAUGCAGUUAUUAAUGCAACAGCACAAGCUUUCAAAUCCCCUAUGACAGCUGCUGCCAUAGCUGAAGGCUGAGGAACUUCCAAACCACGUGACUACUUCCACCCAUGAACCAACCGGAGCCUAGCACACAGUCAGCUGCAUGCAUAUGCAGAACUAAGCAGGCCAAGGACACCAGCAGUAUUCCAUAAAGGUGUCAGUUCAUGUUUCCCAAAUAAGAAGCUGACCUGGAGCCAAGAUACAAGAAGGAAGAAGUCAGGUGGUGGCUGUUUUCACACCUCAGCAUAGACCGGAUGUGGUCUUUAAAGAAAGGCAGGUGAUGAGAGUCACUCCCACCAUGAUAUCUACACCACCAGAGGCCACCGAUGACACCCUGGAACUCCCAGACUGUAGCCAAAAACUGCUUAACAAACUAUGACUGACAAGAACCACCAACCAACCACCAACCAACCAAUUAACCCAACAGCCCACCCCACCUCUGGGGCCCUAGCAUUUAUAUCCCCUCUGAAAAGUACCCAGAAUCCCAAAUGUCACACAAUCCCAGAAACUACCUGCAGCUGGCAAAAUCACACCCCUGCUAGAGCAUGAGGCAAAUCACAGUCAGCUACUGUGGUUGAUCUGAAACAACUCCGUAUCCCACACCUGGGAUUAAAAUGAAAACACAUUCUUAUAAUA